rnacentral:rRNA from 1 species
GACGAACGCUGGCGGCGUGCUUAACACAUGCAAGUCGAACGGAAAGGCCCUGCCUUUGUGGGGUGCUCGAGUGGCGAACGGGUGAGUAACACGUGAGUAACCUGCCCUUGACUUUGGGAUAACUUCAGGAAACUGGGGCUAAUACCGGAUAGGAGCUCCUGCUGCAUGGUGGGGGUUGGAAAGUUUCGGCGGUUGGGGAUGGACUCGCGGCUUAUCAGCUUGUUGGUGGGGUAGUGGCUUACCAAGGCUUUGACGGGUAGCCGGCCUGAGAGGGUGACCGGCCACAUUGGGACUGAGAUACGGCCCAGACUCCUACGGGAGGCAGCAGUGGGGAAUAUUGCACAAUGGGCGGAAGCCUGAUGCAGCAACGCCGCGUGCGGGAUGACGGCCUUCGGGUUGUAAACCGCUUUCGCCUGUGACGAAGCGUGAGUGACGGUAAUGGGUAAAGAAGCACCGGCUAUCUACGUG